GUAUUGGCCUACCGUGGCAAUGACGGGUAACGGGGAAUUAGGGUUCGAUUCCGGAGAGGGAGCCUGAGAAACGGCUACCACAUCUAAGGAAGGCAGCAGGCGCGCAAAUUACCCAAUCCUAAUACAGGGAGGUAGUGACAAGAAAUAACAAUACAGGACUUUUUGGUUUUGUAAUUGGAAUGAGUUAAGUAUAAACCCCUUUACAAGUAUCAAUUGGAGGGCAAGUCUGGUGCCAGCAGCCGCGGUAAUUCCAGCUCCAAUAGCGUAUAUUAAAGUUGUUGCAGUUAAAAAGCUCGUAGUUGGAUUUCUGUUAAUAAUUUAUAUAAAAUAUUUUGAUGAAUAUUUAUAUAAUAUUAACAUAAUUCAUAUUACUAUAUAUUUUAGUAUAUAAAAUUUUACUUUGAGAAAAUUAGAGUGCUUAAAGCAGGCAUAUGCCUUGAAUACUCCAGCAUGGAAUAAUAUUAAAGAUUUUUAUCUUUCUUAUUGGUUCUAAGAUAAGAAUAAUGAUUAAUAGGGACAGUUGGGGGCAUUUGUAUUUAA
rnacentral:rRNA from 1 species